AGCUCGUCCGGCUCCAGCCCGGUCUCGGUGUCCAGCCCGCAGAUGACGAAGUAGUCAGCGAAGCGGCCGGGUGCCGAGGAGCCGCCGCCGCCGCCGCCGCUCAUGCUGGAGCGCGAGAGCUUUCAACAUCAACAUUGUGUACAGUGCAAAAAGAAGAAAUCCAUAAAGCAGACAAAGGAAGCAGAUGAACGAAGCUGUAGCAACUUCACGUUGUGAGUCUUCCAUCAGGAAUUCAUGUCAGAAAAAGCAAAAUAUGUAAGACUUUCUAUGUGAGAAGAUGAAAUGAGCUGUAUCAAUUACCUUCCAGUGCAAAGUAUAAACCCUAAUUUUGUAUAUAUAUAAAAGUAUAAAAAAAGAUUACUGUUGUACAUGAUAAAGAAAUAACUUCCAGAUAGCAGGAAGUCUAACUAGGUGUUCUGAAAUAAAGGUACAAACAGAACAAAUCUCACCCACAGAUGAUCAUCAGUUCAGUUUAAUUUUUAUAGUCAUCAAAAAAAUACCAUUUCAGAACUCAUCAUAAGUGAAUCAAAAAUUAGGCUUAGCAGCAAGUUCGGCAUACUUCAUUGUACCCAAAAUACAAUGUUUCACAUUUUGUAUAAUAGCUUUACUAUCAAAUGGCAAGAGGCAUUUAUUCAUGGUGUCAUCCAGAUAUCGUUUACAAAAAGUUCUAGAAGAUAAACAGGUCACCUAACAGCUCUUUUUUUUUUUUUUUUGUAGUUAAACAAUACUUUCCUGAUUUCCAAGUUUGCUUCACAGUAGACACUUUUUCUGGCAGAAAUGUACGACUCUCUCUUGGAGCACUGGCUGGAUUCCCAUAAAAAGCAAGCUACCGCCUUAUUCCACAGCACAGCACUUCUUUGUUUUUCCACAAGACCUUCUUUAUACUUUAAAACCCUCAGAAGUAGUCCUCACGGGAUAAGGAAUUGCCUGAGGCCAUUGACAGCUGAAGAUAAACAUGGAAGGGAUAAGUUAAAAAAUGCUAACUUGUUGCAAAAGGAAAUAACCUUAUUUUCAACCUUUUUAAGGUUUUUAAGGCUUUUAGCCACUGUGAUGGGAACUUAAGUCUACAGCUGAAAUGGAUUUUUCAGUAUCAUAGCCUGAUCCCAUCUACAUAGUGAAAUAUAACUCAGUGAAAGUGCCAAGUGACAGCAUGAUUCAUACGAAAUUGAAAUGGAAUUCAUUCCUUCUUUAGUGUCAAGGUUCCACCAAAACAUUGGUUUUGUACAAUGUGGAAGGAAUUUUACAACAGCAUGUUAUUGACCAAAGAUUCAGAUCAUUUUUGAGACAAGCCACUGGGUAAUAAUAAGUAUAUAACUUAUUCUCAGUCAAUCUACAUGGAAAAUGAACUAUGCAGAAGAGUAGGCUGUAAAUCUACAGCUAUUUCACACUCAAUAUUCCAGUGGACACUCAGCUCACAAUAGCUACCACUUACUAUGGAGCAAAUCCUCUAGGUAGAUGAGCACUGAGAUUAGAAUUGCAGCAAUGAAAAGUCACUAUUCAGGUUUAAAUGCCAAUAAAGUACAGUUUUAGACUCAAUUCUAAAUAGAAAACAUUCCCUAAAAGGUAAAUGCUUACAAUAAAUUUGUAAACAGAGGUGAAAUGAGUUCCUUUACCUACAUAAAAAUACCAUUUACUGUGUAACCCAGAUUUAAAUAAAAGACCAAAAUAGUUCAUCAAUAAUAUUUACUAUAUAUUUACAUGUAAUACUGCAAUAAACUGGAGUCAAUUAACAUUAUGUUACAAAACAGAACAAAACUUUUUAGAAGGUACCAGUACCUUUCACAUUAUCACAUUCAUGGAACUGUUCUCUUACAUCUCAAAUGAUCUACCAUGAUGAGUUAACAUGGGGAUAUAGACAAGUAAACCCUUGAAUUGGAGCAUAUGCUAACAUGUCAGUUCCCAUUUCAGCAAGGUGCUUCAGGAACAUAAAAUUAAAGCCUAUAAGCAGCACUAGUUUCAGUAGGAUAAACUUAAACACGCACCCUAAUUCCUUGCUGAUCAGGACCUCAUUUUAUGGGACUCCACUGACAAUAAUACAGACUACAACAGUUAUAACUGUACAAGGGCAGGUAUCACAUACCUCAUUUAUUGGCUAUAUAUAAGCAGACUUUUACUUAAAGAU